CGGUUAAGUUAGAAAGGGCGCACGGUGGAUGCCUUGGCACUAGGAGCCGAUGAAGGACGGGACGAACACCGAUAUGCUUCGGGGAGCUGUAAGCAAGCUUUGAUCCGGAGAUUUCCGAAUGGGGAAACCCACCACUCGUAAUGGAGUGGUAUCCAUAUCUGAAUACAUAGGAUAUGAGAAGGCAGACCCGGGGAACUGAAACAUCUAAGUACCCGGAGGAAGAGAAAGCAAAUGCGAUUCCCUGAGUAGCGGCGAGCGAAACGGGACCAGCCCAAACCAAGAGGCUUGCCUCUUGGGGUUGUAGGACACUCUGUACGGAGUUACAAAGGAACGAGGUAGAUGAAGAGGUCUGGAAAGGCCCGCCAUAGAAGGUAACAGCCCUGUAGUCAAAACUUCGUUCUCUCCUGAGUGGAUCCUGAGUACGGCGGAACACGUGAAAUUCCGUCGGAAUCCGGGAGGACCAUCUCCCAAGGCUAAAUACUCCCUAGUGACCGAUAGUGAACCAGUACCGUGAGGGAAAGGUGAAAAGCACCCCGGAAGGGGAGUGAAAGAGAUCCUGAAACCGUGUGCCUACAAGUAGUCAGAGCCCGUUAACGGGUGAUGGCGUGCCUUUUGUAGAAUGAACCGGCGAGUUACGAUCCCGUGCAAGGUUAAGCAGAAGAUGCGGAGCCGCAGCGAAAGCGAGUCUGAAUAGGGCGAAUUGAGUACGUGGUCGUAGACCCGAAACCAGGUGAUCUACCCAUGUCCAGGGUGAAGUUCAGGUAACACUGAAUGGAGGCCCGAACCCACGCACGUUGAAAAGUGCGGGGAUGAGGUGUGGGUAGGGGUGAAAUGCCAAUCGAACCUGGAGAUAGCUGGUUCUCUCCGAAAUAGCUUUAGGGCUAGCCUCAAGGUAAGAGUCUCGGAGGUAGAGCACUGAUUGGACUAGGGGCCCCUACCGGGUUACCGAAUUCAGUCAAACUCCGAAUGCCGAUGACUUAUCCUUGGGAGUCAGACUGCGAGUGAUAAGAUCCGUAGUCGAAAGGGAAACAGCCCAGACCGCCAGCUAAGGUCCCAAAGUAUACGUUAAGUGGAAAAGGAUGUGGAGUUGCUUAGACAACCAGGAUGUUGGCUUAGAAGCAGCCACCAUUUAAAGAGUGCGUAAUAGCUCACUGGUCGAGUGACUCUGCGCCGAAAAUGUACCGGGGCUAAACGUAUCACCGAAGCUGCGGACUGUUCUUCGAACAGUGGUAGGAGAGCGUUCUAAGGGCUGUGAAGCAAGACCGGAAGGACUUGUGGAGCGCUUAGAAGUGAGAAUGCCGGUAUGAGUAGCGAAAGAGGGGUGAGAAUCCCCUCCACCGAAUGCCUAAGGUUUCCUGAGGAAGGCUCGUCCGCUCAGGGUUAGUCGGGACCUAAGCCGAGGCCGAAAGGCGUAGGCGAUGGAUAACAGGUUGAUAUUCCUGUACCACCUCCUCACCAUUUGAGCAAUGGGGGGACGCAGGAGGAUAGGGUAAGCGCGGUAUUGGAUAUCCGCGUCCAAGCAGUUAGGCUGGGAAAUAGGCAAAUCCGUUUCCCGUGAAGGCUGAGCUGUGAUGGCGAGCGAAUUAUAGUAGCGAAGUUCCUGAUUCCACACUGCCAAGAAAAGCCUCUAGCGAGGUGAGAGGUGCCCGUACCGCAAACCGACACAGGUAGGCGAGGAGAGAAUCCUAAGGUGAUCGAGAGAACUCUCGUUAAGGAACUCGGCAAAAUGACCCCGUAACUUCGGGAGAAGGGGUGCUCUGUUAGGGUGCAAGCCCGAGAGAGCCGCAGUGAAUAGGCCCAGGCGACUGUUUAGCAAAAACACAGGUCUCUGCGAAGCCGUAAGGCGAAGUAUAGGGGCUGACGCCUGCCCGGUGCUGGAAGGUUAAGAGGAGCGCUUAGCGUAAGCGAAGGUGCGAAUUGAAGCCCCAGUAAACGGCGGCCGUAACUAUAACGGUCCUAAGGUAGCGAAAUUCCUUGUCGGGUAAGUUCCGACCCGCACGAAAGGCGCAACGAUCUGGGCACUGUCUCAACGAGAGACUCGGUGAAAUUAUAGUACCUGUGAAGAUGCAGGUUACCCGCGACAGGACGGAAAGACCCCGUGGAGCUUUACUGCAGCCUGAUAUUGAAUGUUGGUACAGCUUGUACAGGAUAGGUAGGAGCCUUGGAAACCGGAGCGCCAGCUUCGGUGGAGGCAUCGGUGGGAUACUACCCUGGCUGUAUUGACCUUCUAACCCGCCGCCCUUAUCGGGCGGGGAGACAGUGUCAGGUGGGCAGUUUGACUGGGGCGGUCGCCUCCUAAAAGGUAACGGAGGCGCCCAAAGGUUCCCUCAGAAUGGUUGGAAAUCAUUCGCAGAGUGUAAAGGCACAAGGGAGCUUGACUGCGAGACCUACAAGUCGAGCAGGGACGAAAGUCGGGCUUAGUGAUCCGGUGGUUCCGCAUGGAAGGGCCAUCGCUCAACGGAUAAAAGCUACCCCGGGGAUAACAGGCUUAUCUCCCCAAGAGUCCACAUCGACGGGGAGGUUUGGCACCUCGAUGUCGGCUCAUCGCAUCCUGGGGCUGUAGUCGGUCCCAAGGGUUGGGCUGUUCGCCCAUUAAAGCGGUACGCGAGCUGGGUUCAGAACGUCGUGAGACAGUUCGGUCCCUAUCCGUCGCGGGCGCAGGAAAUUUGAGAGGAGCUGUCCUUAGUACGAGAGGACCGGGAUGGACGCACCGCUGGUGUACCAGUUGUUCUGCCAAGGGCAUCGCUGGGUAGCUAUGUGCGGACGGGAUAAGUGCUGAAAGCAUCUAAGCAUGAAGCCCCCUCAAGAUGAGAUUUCCCAUUCCGCAAGGAAGUAAGAUCCCUGAAAGAUGAUCAGGUUGAUAGGUCUGAGGUGGAAGUGUGGCGACACAUGGAGCUGACAGAUACUAAUCGAUCGAGGACUUAACCAAUUU
rnacentral:rRNA from 1 species